GACGUAGGGGGCAAGCGUUGUCCGGAUUUAUUGGGCGUAAAGAGCUCGUAGGCGGCUUGGCAAGUCGGGUGUGAAACCUCCAGGCUCAACCUGGAGCCGCCAUUCGAUACUGCCAUGGCUAGAGUUUGGUAGGGGACCACGGAACUCCUGGUGUAGCGGUGAAAUGCGCAGAUAUCAGGAAGAACACCAGCGGCGAAGGCGGUGGUCUGGGCCAAUACUGACGCUGAGGAGCGAAAGCGUGGGGAGCGAACAGGAUUAGAUACCCUGGUAGUCCACGCCGUAAACGUUGGGCACUAGAUGUGGGGACCUAUCGACGGUUUCUGUGCCGCAGCUAACGCAUUAAGUGCCCCGCCUGGGGAGUACGGCCGCAAGGCUAAAACU
rnacentral:rRNA from 1 species